rnacentral:rRNA from 1 species
CAAGUCGAGCGGUAGAGAGAAGCUUGCUUCUCUUGAGAGCGGCGGACGGGUGAGUAAAGCCUAGGAAUCUGCCUGGUAGCGGGGGAUAACGUUCGGAAACGGACGCUAAUACCGCAUACGUCCUACGGGAGAAAGCAGGGGACCUUCGGGCCUUGCGCUAUCAGAUGAGCCUAGGUCGGAUUAGCUAGUUGGUGAGGUAAUGGCUCACCAAGGCGACGAUCCGUAACUGGCCUGAGAGGAUGAUCAGUCACACUGGAACUGAGACACGGUCCAGACUCCUACGGGAGGCAGCAGUGGGGAAUAUUGGACAAUGGGCGAAAGCCUGAUCCAGCCAUGCCGCGUGUGUGAAGAAGGUCUUCGGAUUGCAAAGCACUUUAAGUUGGGAGGAAGGGCAGUAAACUAAUACGUUGCUGUUUUGACGUUACCGACAGAAUAAGCACCGGCUAACUCUGUGCCAGCAGCCGCGGUAAUACAGAGGGCGCAAGCGUUAAUCGGAAUUACUGGGCGUAAAGCGCGCGUAGGUGGUUUGUUAAGUUGGAUGUGAAAUCCCCGGGCUCAACCUGGGAACUGCAUUCAAAACUGACUGACUAGAGU